ANACCAGGGUUUUUUUCCCGGUAAGGGUGAAACCUUGNGGAAAGGAAUUCAAUUUGCCACACACGAGUUGCAAGCCCAACCCCGCGGCGAAACGAAACACAUUGUCCCCUUUGGGCGGGUCGGGGCGUCUCGAGGAGUCGGGGCCGGCCACCUCCCUUCGUCAAAAGCGAAGCGAGCUCGCUUGUUCGCGGCGUGGGGUUUCCACCCACGAUGCGUCCACCUUGACCGAGUGACUGAGUCCCGAAUCGACUCCAGAGGAGCGAGUUCCGCCCCCUCGGCUUGGCUGAGGGGUCGGCGCUGGUUAUCCCUUGCGAGUGGAAGGAAUGGAAGAACACCGAAACAACUCUCAGCAACGGAUAUCUUGGCUCUUGCAACGAUGAAGAACGCAGCGAAAUGCGAUACGUAGUGUGAAUUGCAGAAUUCCGCGAAUCAUCGAGUCUUUGAACGCAAGUUGCGCCCGAGGCUUGUCCAAGGGCAUUUCCGCUAGAGCGUCACCGCGCCCCCCCCCACCGAUCCGUUCCCUCCGGGAGUCGGGUCGAGUGAAAGUGGCCAUCCCCGUGGGGGCCUCCUCCCGCGAGGAAGGGAGGUCUUCCCGAGGGUUGGCUGAAAUGGAUGGAAUCGGGCCGCCGUGGCGACACAGUCCGCGAUCGGGUGAUCCGGGCUCCCCCGGGAGUCCGGGAUUUUUCUAAGUGCGUGGCUGCGUCUCCCAGUCGGUCGUGGUUUCCUCGUGCAGGUCAGACCUCGUCACGCAUCAGUCACAAGGUU
rnacentral:rRNA from 1 species